UACGGAGGGUGCAAGCGUUGCUCGGAAUCAUUGGGCGUAAAGCGCACGUAGGCGGUCCGGUAAGUCGGAUGUGAAAUCCCUCGGCUCAACCGAGGAAGUGCAUUCGAAACUGCCAGACUUGAAUAUGGAAGAGGGUCGCGGAAUUCCCGGUGUAGAGGUGAAAUUCGUAGAUAUCGGGAGGAACACCAGUGGCGAAGGCGGCGACCUGGGCCAAUAUUGACGCUGAGGUGCGAAAGCGUGGGGAGCAAACAGG
rnacentral:rRNA from 1 species